rfam:Flavobacterium sp. KMS contig023, whole genome shotgun sequence.
CAACCUCUGGCGAAGUCCGUGUAUGUUG